UUGAUUUCAGUUGUUUUACUUAAUUCCUUUCUUUCGUUGUCAAUUAUAUGCCUGUUUGUAUGUAGAGGGAGCAGCUUAUUUCUUCUACUUCUUCUUCUUCUUCUUUUUGUACCCACUGAUAUCUUUGUAUCAUAAUGGAAAACGAGACUGUAAGGCUGGCAUUUAGAUAAGCGAGUAAAAAGACUUUAAAAAACCAUCAUCACCAUCAUCGACAUCAGCAACAGCAACAGCAGCAGCAAGCUGAAUCAUUAUCAACGAUUUAUUGUGCUAUUGGCUUAUUGCGCUGCCUGGUUGACUAAAUGUAGCAAAGUGAAGAAUAAUUUUUUGCAUAAAACUUACAUAUUUUUUACAGCAAUGAUAAGCAGCACAUGGCAACUAAGUUUUGUAAAUUGUUAAAUUUUCUUUUAAUUUAGAAAUCUUAAGUGGAAAUUGGGAAAUAACUAAAUUUUUCUAAAAUUUAGUUUUAUUAUUCACCCCAAAUAAUUGCUAUUUAGCUACAAAUACGUUUAACAUAAAAACUCUUUAACUAUUUUUAAAUUAACAAUUUAACUUUUACAACUACCUGUAAUGUAACUCUACUGUUUUGUAAUUAAAUUUGGAAAAAAAAUAUCAAAAGGAAUGUGUUUGAUGCCACGCGCUGAUAAAAACGUAAAAAAAACAGAAACAUUAAACCAAAAAUAUCACAACACAAUCUUUAUUGAAACUUGUACAAUUUUAGUUUUUGUUUAUAAAAUUUUUGUCUAGUUUUUUUUUUUUUUAACUACCCACUCUAGUUUAAAUGUUGUUAUCGAUGAAGAAAAAAAAUUACUAUAAUUUUGGACAAAAUACCAGCACAUUUCAAUGACGACCUGCUUUCUAUCUUUAAAUAAAAAAAUGAAAAUUACUACAACUAUUAAAUAUUUAACAAAUUACUCAAACCAAAAA